UCGUAGGCUACUUGGGUGAGAGUGGUC
rnacentral:misc_RNA from 1 species